rnacentral:rRNA from 1 species
CCGAUCCUCCCACCCUUUGUGUACCCACCUCUGUUGCUUUGGCGGGCCGCGGUCCUCCGCGGCCGCCCUCCGUCCGGGGGGUGGCCAGCGCCCGCCAGAGGACCAUCAAACUCCGGUCAGUGAACGUUGCCGUCUGAAAAACAAUCAAUAAACUAAAACUUUCAACAACGGAUCUCUUGGUUCUGGCAUCGAUGAAGAACGCAGCGAAAUGCGAUAAGUAAUGUGAAUUGCAGAAUUCAGUGAAUCAUCGAAUCUUUGAACGCACAUUGCGCCCCUCGGUAUUCCGAGGGGCAUGCCUGUUCGAGCGUCAUUACAACCCUCAAGCUCUGCUUGGUGUUGGGCACCGCCCUUCCGCGGGCGCGCCUCAAAGACCUCGGCGGUGGCGUCUUGCCUCGAGCGUAGUAGAAAACACCUCGCUUUGGAGCGCACGGCGCCGCCCGCCGGACGAACCUUUUGAACUUUCUCAAGGUUGACCUCGGAUCAGGUAGG